rnacentral:rRNA from 1 species
AGGACGAACGCUGGCGGCGUGCCUAACACAUGCAAGUCGAACGGGGGUAGCAAUACCCCAGUGGCGAACGGGUGCGUAACACGUGAAGAACUUGUCCAUCGGCGGGGGAUAGCCGGCCCAACGGCCGGGUAAUACCGCGUACGCCGUCUGAAGCGCAUGCUUCGGCCGGGAAAGCAGCAAUGCACCGAUGGAGAGCUUCGCGGCCUAUCAGCUAGUUGGUGGGGUAAUGGCCCACCAAGGCAACGACGGGUAGCUGGUCUGAGAGGAUGACCCAGCCACAUUGGGACUGAGACACGGCCCAGACUCCUACGGGAGGCAGCAGUGGGGAAUAUUGCGCAAUGGGGGAAACCCUGACGCAGCGACGCCGCGUGUGGGAUGACGGCCUUCGGGUUGUAACCACUGUCGCGAGGGACGAAAAAUGACGGUACCUCGAAGGAAGCGACCGGCUAACUCUGUGCCAGCAGCCGC